ACAAAAACAAAAUAAACACUCACGUCACUCUCUCACUUUCAUCUCUCUCGUCUCUCUCAAUUGUAAGAACCCUAACCUCAGUCUCUCCGAAGUUCAGUAUCAUCUCUACAAAACUCAGUCUCUCGUCAACGAAGCUAAACUCAGUCUCUCAUCAACAAAGCUAAUCGAAGCUGAAUCUAAUCUCUCUACCGAAGCUCCCACAGUUAAAGCUGCUCCCUUGAUGUAGAAAGAUCGAAAGCUCAUUUAGGGGUUUCAAUUUGGUAACGAGAGCAGAGGUGACGGGGACUGGGAUUGCGAGCGUCACCGGGAAUGAGACUGUUACAAGGAGAGGGAAUGGUCUGAUAGAACAUAUAGGGGAAGAGGUAGGGGCGAUGGGGAUGGUUCCAAAAGCUCACGUGAUGACAGGAAAAGAGAUUAUAAUGAGGACAGUUACAGGGAAUAGUGGAGCAGAAAUAAGUCCGAGGGACAGCUCAGAGCACGGAUCGAAAUUAGCAUCUCCGAAAUCUCAUUCUCGUUCACACUCGACAAGCUUGGUUUGGACAGCCUGACCCUUCUAUUUUGGUGUUGUCGUCCGGGCGGUACAUUACAAUGGUGGAGCACGAAGACAGAGCUAGGCACAUGGCAUUUCAGAGCAUCUCAAUCUGCAGAAAUUAUGUUAUGGCGUGAUGGUACUGCUGGUCGAAAUAUGUUGUUUGACUUAAGUUAUUAUGAAGUAUCUAGUAUCAGUACGAUCAGUUUCUAGACUUUAGCACUUUGUGAUAAUAUAGCCUUAAUUAUGUAGAAUUUGUGUUAUGGCCUCAUGGCAUUGGUCAGAGAUUUGUUGGUUGA